AUGAACGGUCGAGAAGCUCGGGCACGACUAGAUGGAGUGGAUGCUGAUGCUAGAUGUGAGGAGCAUCUUCGCCCACGUGCUGACCUAGGGCCACCACCACCACCUACUGCUCUGAGGUGUUACAGUCGCCGCCAUCGCUACUCGCUGCUUCGCGAUGCCGCUAUGGCCGCCACCACCAUGACGAAUGUCCGAGAAGUUAUUCGUCAUUUUAUUAUUGCUGCCAGAUUAUUUUCAAUUCAACAACAUCAUACUCAAAUUUCAUAUUCUAUGGAAAAUCAUUUAAUUUCAAGAAACACAAACUGGUCUAAUCGACAACAAUUGUUUUACCUCCACACAUCAAAUUUCAUAUUCGUCGGCCACCGCCUUCGUGGAAGCUCCUGCGACACAUCAAUAGCGGAAGGACUCAGUGUGGAGGAGCCGAAUCGAGCGGGUGCUGCAGGUCAGACGACUUUAAAUCAUCGCGCCUCCUUCCCUCCCGAUCCUCGAGCUGCCAUGGUGUAA
rnacentral:rRNA from 1 species